rnacentral:other from 1 species
CGACCUCUGCGGUGUUCGUGGAAGACGUACACUUUUGACGAACCGAUGUUUCACCCGCAGGGAGCCAACAAUUCUUCCGGUGCUUGCAUGCCCACCUUUGUAGUGGGAUCCAAAACCCGGGGAUGAGGCGCCCUCAUUAAACUGCGGGUUCUCAAAAGCGUCUAAACGGCACAGGCGGAGGUUUU